rnacentral:rRNA from 1 species
CAGUAGCCACGGUAAGACAGAGGAUGCAAGCGUUAUCCGGAAUGAUUGGGCGUAAAGGGCUCGCAGGCGGUUUCUUAAGUCUGAUGUGAAAGCCCCCGGCUCAACCGGGGAGGGUCAUUGGAAACUGGGAAACUUGAGUGCAGAAGAGGAGAGUGGAAUUCCACGUGUAGCGGUGAAAUGCGUAGAGAUGUGGAGGAACACCAGUGGCGAAGGCGACUCUCUGGUCUGUAACUGACGCUGAGGAGCGAAAGCGUGGGGAGCGAACAGGAUUAGAUACCCCCGUAGUCCCUGUCUCUUAUAC